rnacentral:rRNA from 1 species
UACGAAGGGGGCUAGCGUUGUUCGGAAUUACUGGGCGUAAAGCGCACGUAGGCGGAUCUUUAAGUCAGAGGUGAAAUCCCAAGGCUCAACCUUGGAACUGCCUUUGAUACUGGGGAUCUUGAGUCCGGGAGAGGUGAGUGGAACUGGCGAGUGUAGAGGUGAAAUUCGUAGAUAUUCGCAAGAACACCAGUGGCGAAGGCGGCUCACUGGCCCGGUACUGACGCUGAGGAGCGAAAGCGUGGGGAGCGAACAGG